GCUAACCCAAGAUUACUAGACACCAGAGCCUAGCUAGGCCUGGCAUGGGACUUUUACAAGUGCCUUGUUCCCUGGGACUAAGGUGUUUUUUCUUUUGGGAUCUGCAGAGUGCCCAUGGGUGGACAGGCCUAGAGGCAGGCCACAGUAGGAGGUAGCACAGGGAGGAAAUGGUGGGUCUGAGCAGACAGACCUUCGCUCUUUAUUACAGGGUCCCUGGGCUGGAACCCAGAAUAGUGAGAAGGCCUGGGUCCUCUACCAGCCCAUUGACAAAAGUGACACCAAGGCCCCAUAGAUAAGAGCUGGAAUGGGCUAUUAAGUCUGAAGUCAGGCUGAAGACCUGGUGGGAAGCUGCUGAACUAUAAUAGCACUUUGUCUACCCAAGAAGGACUGGGACCAUAUGUCACCCAGCCCGAGGGCUGAGACACAAAAGUAGACCACCACAGGACUGCAGCAGCUGUCAGCAUGAGGGGCACCUGAGGAGACCCUGCUACACCGUGGCCUGCCAUGAGGGACUGUGCUGCCUAAUGGGUAAAAUGGAGGCCUGGUGACAGCAAGUAACUUACCCAAAGCUGUGUACACUCCUGCAAUGGCAGAAGGCACAGACAAGCCACGCAGCCGGGACAGAGGCUGGUAGAGGCCAUCUCCAAUAAAUCUGCAUCUGGAGGGAGUCAUCUCUGCAUGGAGCUUUCACCUUUGUGUUGGAGAAGAGUGUUGGCCAUCUCUUCAGCACUAUAAACUUAACUUCUGAAGCCCAUGAAGGAUGCUGUCUGGUCUAGGACAUGCCAGGGAUGAAGACUAGAGAAGUCGCCUCAGAGAAGUCUUCACACUGUGUGGCUCAUCCAGUCACUAGGGAGGAACUUGCCACUCUGCUGGGACAUCAGGUAG